AGCGAACGCUGGCGGCAGGCCUAACACAUGCAAGUCGAACGAUCCUUCGGGAUAGUGGCGGACGGGUGAGUAACACGUGGGAACGUACCUUUAGGUUCGGGAUAACUCAGGGAAACUUGAGCUAAUACCGGAUAAGCCCUUUUGGGGAAAGAUUUAUCGCCUUUAGAGCGGCCCGCGUUAGAUUAGCUAGUUGGUGAGGUAAAGGCUCACCAAGGCUCCGAUCUAUAGCUGGUCUGAGAGGAUGAUCAGCCACACUGGGACUGAGACACGGCCCAGACUCCUACGGGAGGCAGCAGUGGGGAAUCUUGCGCAAUGGGCGAAAGCCUGACGCAGCCAUGCCGCGUGAAUGAUGAAGGUCUUAGGAUUGUAAAAUUCUUUUAGCAGGGACGAUAAUGACGGUACCUGCAGAAAAAGCCCCGGCUAACUUCGUGCCAGCAGCCGCGGUAAUACGAAGGGGGCUAGCGUUGCUCGGAAUUACUGGGCGUAAAGGGAGCGUAGGCGGGUUAUCAAGUUGGAGGUGAAAGCCCAGGGCUCAACCUUGGAAUUGCCUUCAAAACUGAUAACCUAGAGGAUGAUAGAGGUAAGUGGAACUCCGAGUGUAGAGGUGAAAUUCGUAGAUAUUCGGAAGAACACCAGUGGCGAAGGCGACUUACUGGAUCAUUACUGACGCUGAGGCUCGAAAGCGUGGGGAGCAAACAGG
rnacentral:rRNA from 1 species